UGGCGGACGGGUGAGUAAUGUCUGGGAAACUGCCUGAUGGAGGGGGAGUAACUACUGGAAACGGUAGCUAAUACCGCAUAACGUCGCAAGACCAAAGAGGGGGACCUUCGGGCCUCUUGCCAUCGGAUGUGCCCAGAUGGGAUUAGCUAGUAGGUGGGGUAACGGCUCACCUAGGCGACGAUCCCUAGCUGGUCUGAGGGGAUGACCAGCCACACUGGAACUGAGACACGGUCCAGACUCCUACGGGAGGCAGCAUG
rnacentral:rRNA from 1 species